rnacentral:rRNA from 1 species
UACAGAGGAGCCAAGCGUUGUCCGGAUUGACUGGGCGUAAAGCGCACGCAGGCGGUUGCGCGCGUGGGGUGUGAAAUCUGGCCGCUUAACGGCCAGGCGCCAUCCCAUACGGCGCGACUGGAGUGAUGCAGAGGUCGAUGGAAUUGCCGGUGUAGUGGUGAAAUGCGCAGAUAUCAGGAGGAACACCGGUGGCGAAGGCGGGUCUCUGGGCAACUACUGACGCUGAGGAGCGAAAGCGUGGGGAGCGAACAGG